AACGAACGCUGGCGGCAUGCCUAACACAUGCAAGUCGAACGAGACCUUCGGGUCUAGUGGCGCACGGGUGCGUAACGCGUGGGAACCUGCCUUUAGGUUCGGAAUAACUCAGAGAAAUUUGAGCUAAUACCGGAUAAUGUCUUCGGACCAAAGAUUUAUCGCCCUGAGAUAAGCCCGCGUAGGAUUAGCUAGUUGGUGGGGUAAAGGCUCACCAAGGCGACGAUCCUUAGCUGGUCUGAGAGGAUGAUCAGCCACACUGGUACUGAGACACGGACCAGACUCCUACGGGAGGCAGCAGUGAGGAAUAUUGGUCAAUGGCGCAAGCCUGAACCAGCCAU
rnacentral:rRNA from 1 species